AGCGAACGCUGGCGGCAGGCCUAAUACAUGAAAGUCGAACGGCUCUUCGGAGCAGUGGCGGACGGGUGAGUAACACGUGGGAACGUGCCCUUUGGUACGGAACAACUGAGGGAAACUUCAGCUAAUACCGUAUGUGCCGCCAUUCUUAGCGGGAUGGGUGGGAAAGAUUUAUCGCCAUUGGAGCGGCCCGCGUUGGAUUGGCUAGUUGGUGGGGUAAAGGCCCACCAAGGCUACGAUCCAUAGCUGGUCUGAGAGGAUGAUCAGCCACACUGGGACUGAGACACGGCCCAGACUCCUACGGGAGGCAGCAGUAGGGAAUCUUGCGCAAUGGGCGAAAGCCUGACGCAGCCAUGCCGCGUGAAUGAUGAAGGUCUUAGGAUUGUAAAAUUCUUUCACCGGGGAAGAUAAUGACGGUACCCGGAGAAGAAGCCCCGGCUAACUUCGUGCCAGCCGCCGCCGUAA
rnacentral:rRNA from 1 species